rnacentral:lncRNA from 1 species
UCGGAGGCCCCUUAGACAAUCGCGGAUGCCGAGCUUCGGGCUAGACAUAAAAUCUGCCAAGCUGCCAAUUUCCUGUUACCUACUCCAGAGACCCAGUGAUAUGAAGACACCCUAGCUGGACUGUCAGUUCUCGUUAAGAACCUAACCCCUCAAACUCUACAACCUCUGUGGACAGGAUCCUACCUGGUCAUCUAUAGUACCCCAACAGUGGUCAGUCUACAGAAUCCUCCCCACUGGAUUCAUCGCUCCAGGAUAAAACUAUGCCCAUCUGACGACCAGCCUAGCUCCUCCACCUCCUCCUGGAAGUCACAACAUAAAAAGACAGGAAUGUAAGGUCCUCUGAGCAGGCGGCGCCAUGGUCAAGCCAUCGUGACCCCUGUGACUCACACGUACACAUCCAGAAGGUCUCCUGGAGCCAGAAAGUCUGGGACGACAGGAAAACCACAAAAGAAGAAAAACGGCUAGUUCCUGUCUUAGCUGAUCAGCCAACCUUGUGACAUUCUAUCAUUGUAACAGGCUGUACCCUAACUGAUCAAUCAACCUCAUGACACUGUGCUCUGUAACCUUAUGAUAAUGUACCUUAUGACAUUCUUCCCCUGCCCUCAAUAAACAGCUCCGAACUAUAACUUUCCACUGCUUACCCCUAAAGUAUAAAACUAGCUCCAACCCCACCACUUCCUUUUCGGACUCAGCCCACCCGCACCCAGUGAAUAAACAACCUUGUUGCUCACACUUAGCCUGUUCAGGGUGUCUCUUCAAUUAGACGCACACAUAACAGACAGAUUAACAAGAAAAACACAUACAGAUUAAUUUAAUAUAAAUUUUUUUUUAUUAUACUUUAAGUUUUAGGGUACAUGUGCACAUUGUGCAGGUUAGUUACAUAUGUAUACAUGUGCCAUGCUGGUGCGCUGCACCCACUAACUCGUCAUCUAGCAUUAGGUAUAUCUCCCAAUGCUAUCCCUCCCCCCUCCCCCCACCCCACCACAGUCCACAGAGGGUGAUAUUCCCCUUCCUGUGUCCAUGUGAUCUCAUUGUUCAAUUCCCACCUAUGAGUGAGAAUAUGUGGUGUUUGGUUUUUUGUUCUUGCGAUAGUUUACUGAGAAUGAUGAUUUCCAAUUUCAUCCAUGUCCCUACAAAGGACAUGAACUCAUCAUUUUUGAUGGCUGCAUAGUAUUCCAUGGUGUAUAUGUGCCAUAUUUUCUUAAUCCAGUCUAUCAUUGUUGGACAUUUGGGUUGGUUCCAAGUCUUUGCUAUUGUGAACAGUGCCGCAAUAAACAUACGUGUGCAUGUGUCUUUA